rnacentral:sRNA from 1 species
GCUGGUCAUGGUGGUGCAUGCCUGUAAUCCCAGUGGCUCAGGAGGCUGAGGCAGGAGGAUCUCAAGUUCAAAGUCAGCCUCAGCAAAAGUGAAGCACUAAGCAACUCAGUGAGACCUUGUCUCUA